rnacentral:misc_RNA from 1 species
ACACCUCAACUCUUGUGGUUUCCCACAAUGAGCUUGGACCAUGGGGGUUUUUGUUGGCCUUCUGGUCAGCUCCUCUCAAAUGUAUCAGCUUACCGGUGUUUGGUGGCAUCAUGGGUGUGAUAACUAUCUACGCUCGUGGUCGUCUCCAAAUGACCUCCAGUGAUGGGGGUUCGCUGGAGCUUAUAAAUGUCUCUCCCUAGUGAAGACAGCCUUUGAAC